GCUUACGGCCAUACCAACCUGGCUAUGCCCGAUCUCGUCUGCUCUCGGAAGCUAAGCAGGUUUGGGCCUGGUUAGUACUUGGAUGGGAGACGGCCUGGGAAUACCAGGUGCUGUAAGCU
ensembl:rRNA 5S_rRNA 5S ribosomal RNA